GAGUUUGAUCGUGGCUCAGGACGAACGCUGGCGGCGCGCCUAACACAUGCAAGUCGAACGGAGAUGAUAAAAGCUUGCUUUGAUCAUCUUAGUGGCGGACGGGUGAGUAACACGUGAGCAACCUGCCUUUCAGAGGGGGAUAACGUUUGGAAACGAACGCUAAUACCGCAUAACGUAUACGGAUGGCAUCAACUGUAUACCAAAGGAGCAAUCCGCUGAAAGAUGGGCUCGCGUCCGAUUAGCUAGAUGGUGAGGUAACGGCCCACCAUGGCGACGAUCGGUAGCCGGACUGAGAGGUUGACCGGCCACAUUGGGACUGAGACACGGCCCAGACUCCUACGGGAGGCAGCAGUGAGGGAUAUUGGGCAA
rnacentral:rRNA from 1 species